rnacentral:rRNA from 1 species
CUGCUGCCUUCCGUAGGAGUCUGGUCCGUGUCUCAGUCCCAAUGUGGCCGGUCACUCUCUCAAGCCGGCUACUGAUCGUUGCUUUGGUAGGCCGUUACCCUGCCAACUGGCUAAUCAGACGCGGGGCCAUCGUAUGCCGAUAAAUCUUUUCACACCAUGCCAUGCAGCAUUGUGUGCUUAUGCGGUAUUAGCAGUCAUUUCUGACUGUUGUCCCCCUGCAUACGGUAGGUUCCCCACG